rnacentral:lncRNA from 1 species
AAUAAAAGAAUUUAAGGGUAUACAAGUGAUAAUUUUUAAGGGUAAAUUCGUCAAUUCGCUAUAAUUCCGUUAACUUACAAACGGCAGCUAACGGUUUGGUCGGCAGAUAACUUUUGUCAAUUUAGGGUGGACGAUUGAUACACCCUCAAAAUAUUGUAGUAUUUUUGAUAAUAUAGCAUCUAUAGGGUAUACGAAUGAUAAUAUCCCUAUAAUAAAUAAGACACAAAGAAUUUAUGUGUUUAGCACUUAGCUUACGUCAUAGAUAAAGAAAUAACAAUUUCACUAUUGUAUAAUGACUACAAUUGAGUUUUUUUAAAAUUUUUUCUAUUUAAGUAUUUGCUUGUACCCCUUUUAUGAGUCAAGAACUCUCUAUUUAUCAAAUAAUUUAGAUAACCCAAAUCUUUAAUGACUCCUCAUUUUGAUAAUCUUUAUCACUUAGUUAGAGUUUUAUUUGAUGUCAACAUUUAUCUUCAACACUUAUCCUCUUCUCAAAUUUACAUUGAGCUUUUAGAGCUUCUAGAUUCUUCUAUUUUAAUAAUCAUGAAUAAAAAAUUUUGCUGGUCUAAAUAAAGUUUCCAACUACUGGACCCUGAAUACUGGAUUCAACAUAUGUGGUUAUUUAAUUAAACUUAUCUCCUAAAGCUAUGCUCUUCUGCCAUCGUGCUUAUUUGACUUAUUUAAUUUUUUCACUAUUGAGUUCUCCUACUAUUGUACUCUCUUGUAGCUGUACUCUUCUACAGUUGUACUUAUUAAACUUAUUCAAACUUCAACUACUGAGCUCUCCUGUAGCUGUACUCUCUUAUAGUCGUGCUUAUUUGACUUAUUUAAGCUUCUAGCUACUAAGUUCUCUUACUAUUGUGCUUUCCUGCAGUUAUGCAUAUUUGACUUAUCCAAGCUUCCAGUUACUAUGUUCUCUUGUAGUUGUGCUCUCAUGUUGUCUUGCUUAUUUGACUAAAAUCUGAUUUUCAAUUUUUGACAUUCCACAUUUCUUGUUCCAACAAUUAUAAUGCACUUUUAAUAUCAUAUAAUAUGAUAAUAUUAUAUUGUACUCUUAUUUUUAUCUUAAAAUAAUUAAUAAAAAUUAAAUUAAAUUUUGUACGUAUAAAAUAAAAGUAUUGAACUAAUGGUAUUGAGUUUAAUUUCUCUAUUUAUUACUUUACAUUUGAUAAAACUGAUAAAAAAUAUGAAUUGAUUUUUUUUUAAAGAUGACGCGGCCUUAUAAGACUAAUGUUAUUUAUGAAAGUUAAUUAUUUUUUUGUUAACUUUAAAAAUAUAUAUUAAUCUGUAUAGUUAAGUGUACACAACCUUUUCAUCAAUAAAAAUUAUGUUCACACUAAUCAACUCUCCAUUCUUAUUGGUAUUAACAGACUCCCACAUUUUACAAAGCCUAACCUUUAUCAUCAAACUAUCUUUAUCAUUGUUUAACUCAUGAAGAAAAGAAUACUCCAUGAAGCACACAAUACAAAAAAAUUAAAUAAGUCAAAAAAUAAAAACACAAGAACUACAUUUCUAAAGAGAAUGUUGGUUAAAUAAUAAAAAAAAUCCAAACAUAACAAAUCUUAAAUACUUAAUAUUUAUAUAGUUUGAAGAAGCCAAAAGACACUAAAUAAAAGGUUGCAUAAUUAAACAUGAAAUUAUGACAUUAAAAUUAGGUCCUAGUGGUAUUGGUGAGGGAAGAUGAAAGAACCUUCCUUCCUAUAUUCAUUAGUUGAUGUAUUUUAAACCACUAAAGUUUAGUUGUUGGCUUAAUAAAAUAAAUGAAUGUUUAAAAACUAUAAUUAAUUUAUUAUUAAUGGUUACAUAUUGUUGAA